GUGUACCCGCUUCAGCAGCACACAUACUAAAACUGGAAGAUGCAGAGAAUAUUAGCAUGGUUCCCUGGGCAAGGAUGACACACAAAUUCAUGAAGCAUUCCAUAUUUUA
ensembl:snRNA U6 U6 spliceosomal RNA